GAUGAAGAACGUAGCGAAAUGCGAUAAGUAAUGUGAAUUGCAGAAUUCAGUGAAUCAUCGAAUCUUUGAACGCACAUUGCGCCCGCCAGUAUUCUGGCGGGCAUGCCUGUUCGAGCGUCAUUUCAACCAUCAAGCCCCAGGCUUGUGUUGGGGACCUGCGGCUGCCGCAGGCCCUGAAAACCAGUGGCGGGCUCGCUGUCACACCGGGCGUAGUAGAUUUUAUCUCGCUCAGGGCGUGCUGCGGGUUCCGGCCGUUAAAAAGCCUUUUUUACCCAAGGUUGACCUCGAAUCAGGUAGGAAUACCCGCUGAACUUAAGCAUAUCAAUAAGCGGAGGA
rnacentral:misc_RNA from 1 species